UGUGUAACAGGUGGGACAGAGGGUGGUUGUGUUUGGAGUGAGUAGAGGUGUGUAACAGGCAGGUGGGACAGAAGGUGGUGUGGUUGAAGUGAGUGGAGGUGUGUAACAGGUGGGACAGAAGGUGGGUGUGUUUGGAGUGAGUAGAGGUGUGUAACAGGUGGGACAGAAGGUGGGUGUGUUUGGAGUGAGUAGAGGUGUGUAACAGGCAGGUGGUACAGAAGGUUGGUGUGUUUGGAGUGAGUAGGGGUGUGUAACUGGUGGGACAGAAGGUGGGUGUGUUUGGAGUGAGUAGAGGUGUGUAACAGGUGGGACAGAAGGUUGGUGUGUUUGGAGUGAGUAGAGGUGUGUAACAGGCAGGUGGUACAGAAGGUUGGUGUGUUUGGAGUGAGUAGAGGUGUGUAACUGGUGGGACAGAAGGUGGGUGUGAUUGGAGUGAGUAGAGGUGUGUAACUGGUGGGACAGAAGGUGGGUGUGAUUGGAGUGAGUAGAGGUGUGUAACUGGUGGUACAGAAGGUGGGUGUGAUUGGAGUGAGUAGAGGUGUGUAACUGGUGGGACAGAAGGUGGGUGUGGUUGGAGUGAGUAGAGGUGUGUAACUGGUGGGACAGAAGGUGGGUGUGAUUGGAGUGAGUAGAGGUGUGUAACUGGUGGGACAGAAGGUGGGUGUGAUUGGAGUGAGUAGAGGUGUGUAACUGGUGGUACAGAAGGUGGGUGUGAUUGGAGUGAGUAGAGGUGUGUAACUGGUGGGACAGAAGGUGGGUGUGUUUGGAGUGAGUAGAGGUGUGUAACAGGCAGGUGGUACAGAAGGUGGGUGUGAUUGGAGUGAGUAGAGGUGUGUAACUGGUGGGACAGAAGGUGGGUGUGUUUGGAGUGAGUAGAGGUGUGUAACAGGCAGGUGGUACAGAAGGUGGGUGUGAUUGGAGUGAGUAGAGGUGUGUAACUGGUGGGACAGAAGGUGG